UUUGAUGAACGCUAGCUACAGGCUUAACACAUGCAAGUCGAGGGGCAUCAGGAAGAAAGCUUGCUUUCUUUGCUGGCGACCGGCGCACGGGUGAGUAACACGUAUCCAACCUGCCCUUUACUCGGGGAUAGCCUUUCGAAAGAAAGAUUAAUACCCGAUAGCAUAAUGAUUCCGCAUGGUUUCAUUAUUAAAGGAUUCCGGUAAAGGAUGGGGAUGCGUUCCAUUAGGUUGUUGGUGAGGUAACGGCCCACCAAGCCUUCGAUGGAUAGGGGUUCUGAGAGGAAGGUCCCCCACAUUGGAACUGAGACACGGUCCAAACUCCUACGGGAGGCAGCAGUGAGGAAUAUUGGUCAAUGGGCGCUAGCCUGAACCAGCCAAGUAGCGUGAAGGAUGAAGGCUCUAUGGGUCGUAAACUUCUUUUAUAUAAGAAUAAAGUGCAGUAUGUAUACUGUUUUGUAUGUAUUAUAUGAAUAAGGAUCGGCUAACUCCGUGCCAGCAGCCGCGGUAAUACGGAGGAUCCGAGCGUUAUCCGGAUUUAUUGGGUUUAAAGGGAGCGUAGGUGGACUGGUAAGUCAGUUGUGAAAGUUUGCGGCUCAACCGUAAAAUUGCAGUUGAUACUGUCAGUCUUGAGUACAGUAGAGGUGGGCGGAAUUCGUGGUGUAGCGGUGAAAUGCUUAGAUAUCACGAAGAACUCCGAUUGCGAAGGCAGCUCACUGGACUGCAACUGACACUGAUGCUCGAAAGUGUGGGUAUCAAACAGGAUUAGAUACCCUGGUAGUCCACACAGUAAACGAUGAAUACUCGCUGUUUGCGAUAUACAGUAAGCGGCCAAGCGAAAGCAUUAAGUAUUCCACCUGGGGAGUACGCCGGCAACGGUGAAACUCAAAGGAAUUGACGGGGGCCCGCACAAGCGGAGGAACAUGUGGUUUAAUUCGAUGAUACGCGAGGAACCUUACCCGGGCUUAAAUUGCAGUGGAAUGAUGUGGAAACAUGUCAGUGAGCAAUCACCGCUGCGAAGGUGCUGCAUGGUUGUCGUCAGCUCGUGCCGUGAGGUGUCGGCUUAAGUGCCAUAACGAGCGCAACCCUUAUCUUUAGUUACUAACAGGUUAUGCUGAGGACUCUAGAGAGACUGCCGUCGUAAGAUGUGAGGAAGGUGGGGAUGACGUCAAAUCAGCACGGCCCUUACGUCCGGGGCUACACACGUGUUACAAUGGGGGGUACAGAAGGCAGCUAGCGGGUGACCGUAUGCUAAUCCCAAAAUCCUCUCUCAGUUCGGAUCGAAGUCUGCAACCCGACUUCGUGAAGCUGGAUUCGCUAGUAAUCGCGCAUCAGCCACGGCGCGGUGAAUACGUUCCCGGGCCUUGUACACACCGCCCGUCAAGCCAUGGGAGCCGGGGGUACCUGAAGUACGUAACCGCAAGGAUCGUCCUAGGGUAAAACUGGUGA
rnacentral:rRNA from 1 species